AGAGUUUGAUCAUGGCUCAGGAUGAACGCUGGCGGCGUGCUUAACACAUGCAAGUCGAACGGAAAGGCCCAAGCUUGCUUGGGUACUCGAGUGGCGAACGGGUGAGUAACACGUGGGUGAUCUGCCCUGCACUUCGGGAUAAGCCUGGGAAACUGGGUCUAAUACCGGAUAGGACGAUGGUUUGGAUGCCAUUGUGGAAAGUUUUUUCGGUGUGGGAUGAGCUCGCGGCCUAUCAGCUUGUUGGUGGGGUAAUGGCCUACCAAGGCGUCGACGGGUAGCCGGCCUGAGAGGGUGUACGGCCACAUUGGGACUGGGAUACGGCCCAGACUCCUACGGGAGGCAGCAGUGGGGAAUAUUGCACAAUGGGCGCAAGCCUGAUGCAGCGACGCCGCGUGGGGGAUGACGGCCUUCGGGUUGUAAACUCCUUUCGCUAGGGACGAAGCGUUUUUGUGACGGUACCUGGAGAAGAAGCACCGGCUAACUACGUGCCAGCAGCCGCGGUAAUACGUAGGGUGCGAGCGUUGUCCGGAAUUACUGGGCGUAAAGAGCUCGUAGGUGGUUUGUCGCGUCGUUUGUGUAAGCCCGCAGCUUAACUGCGGGACUGCAGGCGAUACGGGCAUAACUUGAGUGCUGUAGGGGAGACUGGAAUUCCUGGUGUAGCGGUGGAAUGCGCAGAUAUCAGGAGGAACACCGAUGGCGAAGGCAGGUCUCUGGGCAGUAACUGACGCUGAGGAGCGAAAGCAUGGGUAGCGAACAGGAUUAGAUACCCCGGUA
rnacentral:rRNA from 1 species